rfam:TPA: Bos taurus chromosome 6, whole genome shotgun sequence.
UCCCUGGAGGUCCAGUAGCUAAGACUCCGUGCUCCCAAUCCAGGGGGCCCAGGUUCAAUCCCUGGUCAGGGAA